rnacentral:rRNA from 1 species
UGGGAUAACUUCGGGAAACCGGAGCUAAUACCGGAUAAUAUUUUGAACCGCAUGGUUCAAAAGUGAAAGACGGUCUUGCUGUCACUUAUAGAUGGAUCCGCGCUGCAUUAGCUAGUUGGUAAGGUAACGGCUUACCAAGGCAACGAUGCAUAGCCGACCUGAGAGGGUGAUCGGCCACACUGGAACUGAGACACGGUCCAGACUCCUACGGGAGGCAGCAGUAGGGAAUCUUCCGCAAUGGGCGAAAGCCUGACGGAGCAACGCCGCGUGAGUGAUGAAGGUCUUCGGAUCGUAAAACUCUGUUAUUAGGGAAGAACAUAUGUGUAAGUAACUGUGCACAUCUUGACGGUACCUAAUCAGAAAGCCACGGCUAACUACGUGCCAGCAGCCGCGGUAAUACGUAGGUGGCAAGCGUUAUCCGGAAUUAUUGGGCGUAAAGCGCGCGUAGGCGGUUUUUUAAGUCUGAUGUGAAAGCCCACGGCUCAACCGUGGAGGGUCAUUGGAAACUGGAAAACUUGAGUGCAGAAGAGGAAAGUGGAAUUCCAUGUGUAGCGGUGAAAUGCGCAGAGAUAUGGAGGAACACCAGUGGCGAAGGCGACUUUCUGGUCUGUAACUGACGCUGAUGUGCGAAAGCGUGGGGAUCAAACAGGAUUAGAUACCCUGGUAGUCCACGCCGUAAACGAUGAGUGCUAAGUGUUAGGGGGUUUCCGCCCCUUAGUGCUGCAGCUAACGCAUUAAGCACUCCGCCUGGGGAGUACGACCGCAAGGUUGAAACUCAAAGGAAUUGACGGGGACCCGCACAAGCGGUGGAGCAUGUGGUUUAAUUCGAAGCAACGCGAAGAACCUUACCAAAUCUUGACAUCCUUUGACAACUCUAGAGAUAGAGCUUUCCCCUUCGGGGGACAAAGUGACAGGUGGUGCAUGGUUGUCGUCAGCUCGUGUCGUGAGAUGUUGGGUUAAGUCCCGCAACGAGCGCAACCCUUAAGCUUAGUUGCCAUCAUUAAGUUGGGCACUCUAAGUUGACUGCCGGUGACAAACCGGAGGAAGGUGGGGAUGACGUCAAAUCAUCAUGCCCCUUAUGAUUUGGGCUACACACGUGCUACAAUGGACAAUACAAAGGGCAGCGAAACCGCGAGGUCAAGCAAAUCCCAUAAAGUUGUUCUCAGUUCGGAUUGUAGUCUGCAACUCGACUACAUGAAGCUGGAAUCGCUAGUAAUCGUAGAUCAGCAUGCUACGGUGAAUACGUUCCCGGGUCUUGUACACACCGCCCGUCACACCACGAGAGUUUGUAACACCCGAAGCCGGUGGAGUAACCUUUUAGGAGCUAGCCGUCGAAGGUGGGACAAAUGAUUGGGGUGAAGUCGUAACAAGGUAGCCGUAUCGGAAGGUGCGGCUGGAUCACCUCCUUU